GACGGAGGAUGCAAGCGUUAUCCGGAAUGAUUGGGCGUAAAGCGUCUGCAGGUGGCAGUUCAAGUCUGCUGUCAAAGACCGGGGCUUAACUUCGGAAAGGCAGUGGAAACUGAACAGCUAGAGUAUGGUAGGGGCAGAGGGAAUUCCUGGUGUAGCGGUGAAAUGCGUAGAGAUCAGGAAGAACAUCGGUGGCGAAGGCGCUCUGCUGGACCGGUUCUGACACUGAGGAGCGAAAGCGUGGGGAGCGAUCCGG
rnacentral:rRNA from 1 species